rnacentral:rRNA from 1 species
GUGGGGAAUAUUGGGCAAUGGGCGCAAGCCUGAUCCAGCCAUGCCGCGUGCAGGAAGACGCAUCUAUGGUGUGUAAACUGCUUUUGUACGGGAAGAAACACUCCCUCGUGAGGGAGCUUGACGGUACCGUAAGAAUAAGGAUCGGCUAACUCCGUGCCAGCAGCCGCGGUAAUACGGAGGAUCCAAGCGUUAUCCGGAAUCAUUGGGUUUAAAGGGUCCGUAGGCGGUUUAAUAAGUCAGUGGUGAAAGCCCAUCGCUCAACGAUGGAACGGCCAUUGAUACUGUUAGACUUGAAUUACAAGGAAGUAACUAGAAUAUGUAGUGUAGCGGUGAAAUGCUUAGAUAUUACAUGGAAUACCAAUUGCGAAGGCAGGUUACUACUUGUGGAUUGACGCUGAUGGACGAAAGCGUGGGGAGCGAACAGGAUUAGAUACCCUUGUAGUCC